rnacentral:pre_miRNA from 1 species
AUACUACUCCCUCCGUUCGGAAUUACUCGUCGCACAAAUGGAUGUAUCUACACGUAUUUUAGUUCUAGAUACAUUCAUUUUCACGACAAGUAAUUCCGAACGGAGGGAGUAAUUA